UACACUACACUCCAUGGGCAAUAUUUUGAGGCUUUUCAUUAAAGGGCCUUUUGGUCAUUUUGUAUUCUACUUAUAACCUAGUAUAAAUAGAACAUUGUAGAUCAUUUUGUCUUAGAUUUUGCUGAAUAUGAUGAGUGUAUAACACUUGAAACAUUUCCUCUCUAAGGAGAGAAGACUACCAAUCCGAAACUAGGGUGAUACAAGUGUGGAUUUCACUUGUGUUGCAUUCAAGGCUUGGAAACGAAGGUGCUUGAGGAUAUUGACGUCCCUCUUGUGUCCACGUAAGAGUGUCGGUGUUGUUAUUACAUGUAUUAAGGGUCUUAGUAUUGGAUCUACACUUAGAUUCUUAGUUAUUGUAGUAAUCUAUGUCACACUACCUAUCUUUACAUUUUAUUGUUGUCAUCUUGUUGUUGUUGUGUAGUGAACUAUUUUGGGUCCUUUGUUGAAUCUAGAAAUUUGUGUUAUUGUUGUUCAUAUUAUUCUUCACGUUUUGUAGCUGUUUUGGUGUUAUAUAGACCAUUAUAUAUUGUAUUCUUCUUGUUGAUAGCGAAUCCGAGAAUGGUCUCCAUCUUGGUCCUUGGAUCCUUAAAAUUAUGGACUGAUUUGGUGUUUGGUUUCGUGUAUCUUUUGUUAUUCUUGUAUCAUUUGGUAUUAAAGCAUGGCUUGAUUUUGUUACCACAAGAUCAAUCUUGGGCUUGCUUGCAAAAAAAAUUAAAAAAAAAGUGUUGAAAGCUGAAAAUUCCAAAAAGAAGCAAAUCUGUCCAUUUUUGUGUCUUGACCGAAAUUGUGUUCUUGUUGUGUCUUGGCCAAGAUUUUUCUUGUUUUGAGUCUAUAUCUAGGAUUAAUUUUAUUUGUUUUGUUGUUUCUAGUGUUAGAUUCUUCACCUCUAACACUAAAGAAGUCUAGAUCUAGAUUUGAGCUUUAAUUGUUAAUGUUGUUGUUGUGAACCUAAACUUUGGCCAUGUGAUUGUUGUUGGUAUUGUUGUUGCGGAUUCAAAGCUUGUACGUGUGGUGUGGUGUUGGUUAAAGUUUUGAACGUGUAUAGUGGUUAUUGUGUUGUAUUUUUAAGCUUGGAAAGGUGUUGUUGAUGUUUGGGAUCCAACUUGAACCUUAUAACUUCAAGAUUCAAAAAGUGUGUUCUUGGUGUUCUUCACAUCUUCAUCUAUUGUUGAAGAAAAAGUGGAUGUUUGAUCUUGAAAUUUGAAGAAAGAGAGUGUAUAUUUUGUUAGUCUUGAAAGACAUAUUUCCAAAAUUUAAGACCUCUCAAGACUUUUUCAACCAAUUCCAACCACUCAAGGACUUUAACAACCAUUUUUCUAACAACCUUCCAUGAUUUAAGGACCAUGUCUUGAGGAGAAAAGUCAAGUUUUGCUUUUUGAAUUUGAAAGAGGAUUUUAAGACUUGUUUUCUCUCCUUAACUAACUCCCACCAUUUUCAAAUUACAAUUGGACCAAGACUUGAAUUGGAAAAUAAAAUUUGAUAACAACCGCAAUCAAUACGUGGCUGCCACAUCACUUUUUACUGUUCACCGAUAAUUUGUAAGAUCAAAAUUUAGAUUUCUUAGUUUCAUUUUAUUGUCUCUUAGUUUUGUUUGUUGGUUCGAAAGCUAAUUGACAACCUAGUAAUUUCCUACUAGCUUGUAAGUUAGUUUUGUGUCCGUUUGUUCGUGUUUAUGUUUGUUGUAUGCUUUUAUCGUUUUGAAUUCAUUGUUAGUUCUUGACUCAAGUCCUACAAGAUUUCAUUUGAGUUUCAAACAAAAAUUCAUUCUGGACAAGAGUAGGUCCGACCCUCAAUCACUCACGAAGUACAAGCCGGCUUUCAACACUUAUGAAACCAAGUGUGAGGUAAAAUCGAGAGUGGGACCAUGGUGAGGCUAAUUUGAGCUAACAAGUUGUUUUUUUUUUGUCUUUCUUAGGUCCCAUGGAUGACGGUACUUUCAAGGCUGCCCUUGAAGAUGUCCACCGGAACUUUGAAAGACUACAUUACAUACUUGACUCCCCGAAUUCAAAACCAUUAAUCCAACCUCCACUUGACCAAGGAACAACGACCCGUCUUGAAACUAUCCUCCGUGAUUGUGAAAGAUGAGAAAGGGAAUGGAUGCCAUACAAACCACUAUAUCAAAUGCUCCCUUGUGAUGAGAGCUUGUCAAAGGUACAAGCGGAAUGCCAUGACACACAUCAAAGUGAAGACCAUAACUCAUACGAGUUACAAGGUAAAAAUCCUAAUCCCCACACUCUUACAAACUUAGAAUAUUGUGAUGUGGCUAGUAGUAGCCAAAUGAGAGUGGUUUCGGGUUUGCAUAGAUUAUAAGUACACGAGUCUUUAUUUUGUGAUACUCUUGGUAUUGUUAGGAUGCAUGACAACUAACUUCUUAUUGUAAGUAAGCAAGCACUAGUUGAUCCUUUAGAUGACAAUUAAUUCUUCUCGUAAGAAUGAUUUAUGUCCAUCUAGAGCUUACACUUAUGAAUUGAAUAAGGUUCCAUUGCUAUGUAAUAAGAGUAUUCACACACUAGUUGACCCUUGUGAAAUUCAAGGUGAGUCUAAGUUGGUAUGUGAGUUGCCAACAACUAGUGAGGAUGUGAAAAAUGAUCAAUCGGGUGACGAUGACCUUGACGUGCUUGAAUGUCUAGACAACCCGAUUAGUAUUUGUUCUUGUGAAGUUGGUUUUGAUUUUGCUCCCUUUUCUGUCUAUAGUGGUUUAUGUAUAUUUAGGGACUACUCUCUUGAAAGAGAAAGUGUUGCAUGCCGAUAAAUGCUAUCUACUCCUUCUUCGUGUGUUUCCUACGUUGGGCUUGCUAAUAAAAAUGAACUUGAAAUUAGUAAGUACUUUCAUGAGGACUCCAUAGUUAGAGUUGACUCAUGUGACUCCUUUCCCUCCCCUCUUUGUGCUCAUGAUAUUUUCCAUAGCGAUAUAGAGGGUAUGCCUAAUUUUGAGGGCGACACCGUAGGGGAAAGUAAGUAUGGUCGAAAACCAUGGCCAUGGAUACUUCUCCCGUUUGAUCCCGGUACCAUCUUAGGGUGGGAAAUGAUUACCUCGGCCUAUUUUCCUUUUGUCUUAAUGCUUGCCCGAGCCACCUCCUUUGUAGCAUUUGUACUAAUCUUUCAUGAUUAAAACAAAGAACCCGUGGCUAUACUUUAAGUUUGUUCUGCCUCGUCAUGGCUUGUUGAUGUGUUAUUUUUGCUAACCUUAAUCCCUCAUAUCAUGAGGAUGUGUGCUUGUUUGUCUUCUCUUUAUUUUGCAAGGUAUGGAUUCGAGGUCGAAUCCUUUUCAAGAAGGGGAGAAUGAUACAAGUACGACCACGAGAAUAGAUGUGUGAAAGUGUAAUGAACCCGAGGCUUGGAGUGUGCAAGAAAAAUUCAAAAGAGCGCCUAAAACACACACCAAAACCGAACCUACACUACACUCUAUGGGCAACAUUUUGAGGCUUUUCAUUAAAGGGCAUUUUGGCCAUUUUGUAUUCUAUUUAUAACCUAGUAUAAAUAGAAUAUUGUAGGUCAUUUUGUAUUAGAUUUUUCUGAAUAUGAUGAGUGUAUAACACUUGAAACAUUUCCUCUCUAAGGAGAGAAGACCACCAAUCCAAAACUAGGGUGAUACAAGUGUGGAUUUCACUUGUGUUGCAUUCAAAGCUUGGAAACGAAGGUGCUUGGGGAGAUUGACGUCCCUCUUGUGGUCCACGUAUGAGUGUCCGUAUUGUUAUUACAUGUAUUAAUGGUCUUAGUGUUGGAUAUACACUUAGGUUCUUAGUUAUUGUAGUAAUCUAUGUCACACUACCUAUCUUUACAUUUUGUUGUUGCCAUCUUGUUAUUGUUGUGUAGUGGACUGUUUUGGGUCCUUUGUUGAAUCUGGAAAUUUGUGUUAUUGUUGUUCAUAUUGUUCUUCACUUUUUGUAGCUGUUUUGGUGUUAUAUAGACCAUUGUAUCUUGUAUUCUUCU
rnacentral:lncRNA from 1 species